CCAAAUCACCAACCCUAUCUAUCUAUCUCUCUUCAAAUCCCCUCCCCCUUAACAAGUUAGCACUCAUGAUUCCCUCUUCACUCCGAUCCACUCGUAUAUAACAACCCUUAUUUCUCCAUUGCAAGGUUCAUAAACGCACAGGAAUGGAAUUAAGCGCGGAGUAUUUUAAAAUUCAUAACGAUGUAGACUUAUUUUUUUAAGAAAAUCUAAAUGUAUACCGUAUUAUUUUUACAAAAAGAACGAACUUGGAUGAGCCCGUUUUUUCUAACCCUUAUAAGAAAGUAUGAGUGGUUGAAUUAGAAAAAAUUAAUAGCGGCAUCACAUCGAAGCUCAAUAGUUAAUAGCGGCCUCUCGCCGGCAAGAGGUGGUCGCAGCGGUGGUUCUGAGCAUUGGGAGCUGACAGUGGCAGCACCGUUGCUUUCUGUUUCAGUUUAUUUUAAUUGAUUUGUGCCUUCUUGCUUCUCCGUCCUCGUCAAGGUGUCCAUGGCUGAAGAUUCAAGGAAACGCACAUUGGAGGCUUUGGAGAGAAGAAUAGCUUUUGCUAAAGUUGAAGUUCUCCAAAAAGAAAAGAAAAACAAAAAGACUAUAAAUGAAGAUGGGAAACUACCUAUUCCUGCAGAUUCUACUUCUAAUGAUCCUUCCCCACAUUUGUUGCAUUCAUCAUCAGUCUCAUCCAAGAAAGGGAAUUUCAGUUUCUCUGGUCAUACCACUUUGCAAGACAUUGAAGAUGGUCCAGCAUAUGCCCAACUUUCUGUGCCUGUAAAUGGAAAUCUGCUCACAACUAAUGAGGAGUUUUCUGCUGAAAGAGGAGGUUCAAUUGAUGGCAUAUUGCAUGAGCUUCUUCAGAAGGGAGAUGCAGCACAUAAGUACAUGCAAGGAUCUAGAAACAUGAAAAUUGACAACUGGAUCCUUCUUGAUAAUUAUGUACAAGGACGGGUGCUUUCCUCUGGUUCUCAAGCUAGGGCUUUGCAACUUCAUUCAAAACGCUCUAAGAAACACAUGUCUAUGAAACGGCAUAAGAAGGAUGGAUCAUUAGAUCUUCCUCAAGAGUUCCAGAAAUUUGAUAUUUUCAAGCCAAUGCACGAAAUGUGGAAAGAUUACAUAAUGUUGCUUCUUAAAUCCACUGGGAAAAAUCAAUUGGCUCAAUGUCUCCUUGGUGCAGAUCUACAUGGUGCUUUUAUUUUAGUUGUGGAGUGUAAAAUAACCCAUUUUACUGGAAUUUGUGGCAUCAUGAUUCGUGAAACUGCAGAAGCAUUUGGGAUAAUUACUGAAGAUAAUAAAUUCCGAGUUGUUCCCAAAAAGGUUUCUGUGUUUGUAUUCCAAGUUGAUUGCUGGAAAGUCACUCUGCAUGGAGAUAAACUUGGUUCAAGAAAGGUUGGAUUAUGAUAUUGGUGAUAAUCCUUCAACUGUAGAAUAUCCACGUGACACCUGUGCAAUUUGAAAGUCCCAAGCAGUCUAUGGGAGAAAGGGAAAAGUUUGAUUGCUGAUUUGUAUCAGUAGAGAAGUUGGAGGUUGCUUAAGAUUAUUUAAUGACAGUGACCUUGACUUAUAGGGGCAUAGUGUGACACCCAUGCUAGCCUUUAUUUUUUUUGUGUCCCUUAAAGUUAAACUUGCGCCAAUCAAUAGAAGUAUUGGCUUUCUAUGCUGGUUCUAUAACUUAUCUCGUUUGGUACUGCAGGUGUUAUGCUAGAAUGAUACCAUAGAUAAGUCUUAGAUUUUGGUACCGCUUGCUAUAAGACUGGUCUUUUGUCUUGGGAAUUGGACUCUUAAUUCUUUUUUGUAUGAUUCUUUCCUGCUUACAAAUACUGAAAAUGAAUUAAAUUAGCUAGCACAUGUGUAUAAGAACUAGGACAAAACAUUCUCUUGUGAAUUAUAUUUGCAUAGAUUGAACA